GCCUGUAAACCAUAUUACCAACUGUGACACCGAUCUAUUACCACUUUUGCUGGUGUCAAACUAGAUUACUACUCACUCAGGAGUCUUAAAAACUGGCACAAUUACAUUCUCAUCAUUACCCACCCACAUCCCUGGAUUGUUGAAUUUGAAUAACGCCUUCAUCUAUCAACUUCUGAAUAUCCCUCUUGACAAUCAUACAUCCUCGUGGAUUAAGACUACAGAUAACACAACCAUCAUGGUCAUGUUCACAAUCACUAAUCAAGCACAUGGUUCUAUA
rnacentral:lncRNA from 1 species